rnacentral:rRNA from 1 species
UACGGAGGAUGCAAGCGUUAUCCGGAAUCAUUGGGCGUAAAGCGUCCGUAGGUGGCUUUUCAAGUCUGCUGUUAAAGCACAAGGCUUAACCUUGUAAAGGCGGUGGAAACUGAAAGGGCUAGAGUGCGGUAGGGGUAGAGGGAAUUCCCAGUGUAGCGGUGAAAUGCGUAGAGAUUGGGAAGAACACCGGUGGCGAAAGCGCUCUACUGGGCCUGCACUGACACUGAGGGACGAAAGCUAGGGGAG